GCGGGUGUGGCGGAAUUGGCAGACGCACUAGAUUUAGGAUCUGGCGCCUUCGGCGUGGGGGUUCGAGUCCCUCCACCCGCACCA
rnacentral:tRNA from 3 species